rnacentral:lncRNA from 1 species
UUUUCUCCUUCUUUUGAUAUUUAGCUUUAGCAACUAUGUUUGAGAGGUUAGAAAUCUCAGCAACCACGUCGCACUGAUGUUCUGGCUCAUGAAGAAGCAGGUGCAGCGUAGUGUAUCAUGACAGACUGAAAUGGAAUUCCAGCCGUGUGAAGGCUCAGUAAAGAUCCCAGUCUGUAUCUACAGAAACUCUGGCAAGAACCUUCUAUGAAAGAUGGGUUUCUAGGGGAAUACAUCACGAUGGCAGACCUAUUCAAACUUCUAAGUUUCGCAUUCUGCUUUUAUGGGUUUUCUAUCACCUCCCUCAUCAGCAAAUUAUCAACACUCACUUCGCUCCGCUGACAGUGUUCCUGCCUGUGGCAUUCCUAUCUCCUUCUUAUGUUCUGUUUUAAAUGCACUCUGAGCUGAGACAUUAGGUAGUACGUUAUAGUGACAUUGGCUGUAUAUUUCCUUGAAACAUACGAACCUUUCCAUUCACAUGUGUUCUAUAUUCUAUCAUUUUACUGUGAAUACAUUGAGUUAGAUUACUGUUGGCUUACUGAUUAC